UAAUCCAACAAUAGUACUAGGUGCCUGUACUACAGAAACACUGCUAAUCCAACAAUAGUGCUAGGUGCCUGUACUACAGAAACACUGCUAAUCCAACAAUAGUGCUAGGUGCCUGUACUACAGAAACAGCUGUUAAUCCAACAAUAGUGCUAGGUGCCUGUACUAUAGAAACACUGCUAAUCCAAUAAUAGUGCUAGGUGCCUGUACUACAGAAACA